rnacentral:rRNA from 1 species
CCUACGGGUGACAGCAGUGAGGAAUAUUGGUCAAUGGACGAGAGUCUGAACCAGCCAAGUAGCGUGAAGGAUGACUGCCCUAUGGGUUGUAAACUUCUUUUAUAAAGGAAUAAAACGAGGCACGUGUGCCGUUUUGCAUGUACUUUAUGAAUAAGGAUCGGCUAACUCCGUGCCAGCAGCCGCGGUAAUACGGAGGAUCCGAGCGUUAUCCGGAUUUAUUGGGUUUAAAGGGAGCGUAGAUGGGUUGUUAAGUCAGUGGUGAAAGUUUGCGGCUCAACCGUAAAAUUGCAGUUGAAACUGGCAGUCUUGAGUACAGGAGAGGUAGGCGGAAUUCGUGGUGUAGCGGUGAAAUGCUUAGAUAUCACGAAGAACCCCGAUUGCGAAGGCAGCUUACUAAACUGUGACUGACAUUGAUGCUCGAAAGUGUGGGUAUCAAACAGGAUUAGAUACCCUGGUAGUC